UGGUUUUUCUUUUUGAUUUCCUCGUCAAGAGGAAAUUCCUCUUGGGGGUUCAAUUCCAUAGAUUGGCAGUUCACGGUAUUCGGUUCUUCGCAGUAAGUGUCGUCAUUCUGUGACUCUUGUUGGUUCAUGGCAGACAGUUCUUCUGUGCUAAAGUCCGAUUGCAGUGAAACGCUCCAUCAUUCAGAAGUUCCCGGUACACAGAGGUGACGACGUGCAAGUUUUGAGAGAUGAGGAAAGCUGGACUCAUUCAUCUUCCACCGUUUGAAAGGAUC